rnacentral:rRNA from 1 species
GACGGAGGAUGCAAGCGUUAUCCGGAAUGAUUGGGCGUAAAGCGUCCGCAGGUAGCAGUUCAAGUCUGCUGUCAAAGACCGGGGCUUAACUUCGGAAAGGCAGUGGAAACUGAACAGCUAGAGUAUGGUAGGGGCAGAGGGAAUUCCUGGUGUAGCGGUGAAAUGCGUAGAUAUCAGGAAGAACAUCGGUGGCGAAGGCGCUCUGCUGGACCAUAACUGACACUCAGGGACGAAAGCUAGGGGAGCGAAUGGG